rnacentral:rRNA from 1 species
UGUAAUUUGCAGAGGAUGCUUUUGGCGCGGUGCCUUCCGAGUUCCCUGGAACGGGACGCCAUAGAGGGUGAGAGCCCCGUCUGGUCGGACGCCUAGCCUGUGUAAAGCUCCUUCGACGAGUCGAGUAGUUUGGGAAUGCUGCUCUAAAUGGGAGGUAUAUGUCUUCUAAAGCUAAAUACCGGCCAGAGACCGAUAGCGCACAAGUAGAGUGAUCGAAAGAUGAAAAGCACUUUGAAAAGAGGGUUAAAUAGUACGUGAAAUUGUUGAAAGGGAAGCGCUUGUGACCAGACUUGGGCCCGGUGGAUCAUCCAGCGUUCUCGCUGGUGCACUCCGCCGGGUUCAGGCCAGCAUCAGUUCGCCGCGGGGGAAAAAGGCUUCGGGAACGUGGCUCCUACGGGAGUGUUAUAGCCCGUUGCAUAAUACCCUGGGGCGGACUGAGGUUCGCGCUCCGCAAGGAUGCUGGCGUAAUGGUCAUCAGCGACCCGUC